GAUGAAGAACGCAGCGAAAUGCGAUAAGUAAUGUGAAUUGCAGAAUUCAGUGAAUCAUCGAAUCUUUGAACGCACAUUGCGCCCGCCAGUAUUCUGGCGGGCAUGCCUGUUCGAGCGUCAUUUCAACCAUCAAGCCCUGCUUGCGUUGGGGUCCUGCGGCUGCCCGCAGGCCCUGAAAACCAGUGGCGGGCUCGCUAGUCACACCGAGCGCAGUAAUACAUCUCGCUUUGGGCGUGCGGCGGGUUCUUGCCGAUAAACACCCCCUUUUUACCAAGGUUGACCUCGGAUCAGGUAGGAAUACCCGCUGAACUUAAGCAUAUCAUAAGCGGAGGA
rnacentral:misc_RNA from 1 species